ensembl:lncRNA novel transcript
GCCUCAGCCAACACUACAUCAGAGGCACAUUGUGGAUGGAGGAAAUGAGUUUAGUCAAGCCAGCUGUGACUUCAAAGGGGCUGCUCUCCCAGAGAACAGUGAGAAAGGGUUCCCCCUUCAGUGAAGACUGCAAAGUUCAGCCAGCGCCAACCCAAAGGGAAUGGACUCCAGGAAGGGGCAAAUUACAUUCAACAUACAAGAAAGAAUAUUUUCCUUCAUGAAGUGGCUGUGACAGUCUGAAGAGGAAGGAAAAUGACAAAAAAGAAAGAAAACUACACAUUUCUUUCAAAUUACUUACUUCACACAAAUUUACUGAGGAACAAUAGGGUGGACCCUGCAUAUUCGAAGACAAGAUCGUCUGUGUUCCAGUUCAAAAGAAGAAGCUAGACACAUAAACUGAAGAUUAUGGUAUUGAGUGAUAAGCCUUGGAGCAGGAAUCCCAAAGUGUGAUCACAUGACCAGCAGCAGCAACAUCACCUGGGAACUUGUUAGAAAUGCAAAUUUGCAGGCCCUAAUCCAAAUCUACUGAAUAAGAAAGUUGAGGUUGAUUUAACAAGCCCUUCAAGUGAUUCAAUGCUUGCUAAAACUGGAGAACCACCUUGAUAGUGAAGGGACAAAAGGACUUUUGUGCAGAGAGCUAACACAUCUGAACUAACCUUGAGAUCCUCUGCCAUCUAUAAAUCACUUCUCAAUCUCUUCCCGAUAAGAUUCUAAAUAGGUGGCUCUCUGGCAAUUCAAGGGAUGAUACACGCGUGUGUGUCUUCUCUCUUUAUGUAAGUUAUAAGAUCUGAAUGACAGAGGCACAUUCUUCUUUUAUGUUUUCUUUCCUUUCUCCUCCUAUUUUUAGGGCCAGUACGUGGAAAAUGCGGAAAUUGGAACUUACUAUAAGUAACUAAUUCAGAAAUCAGGCUGGCAGAAGUGUUAUACAUUCACUGGAAGAAAUUGGUGAAUAUAUGGAAAACAUAAAUGUUAUGUAUCCUGGAACUUAAAAUAAAAAUUAAUAAUAAAAAAUGUUAUCUCUCCCAA